rnacentral:lncRNA from 1 species
AAAAAUGAAAGCAGGCACAAGAUUUGUAGCUAUUCAUACCUCUAAAGCAAAUAUAGCCUCUUAAGCAAGUAUUCCAAACAACCUAUUGGAAAAAAAUAUAUAUAUUCAGUUAGACACAGUAAACCCAUGACACAAGUCAAAAAAAAGAAAAAAAGGCAGAUGCCAGAUUUUUAGCUAUCCAUACCUCUUAAGCAAGUAAUUCAAACACCCUACUGCAAAAAAGAAAAAGAAAAAGAAAAUCUGUUAGACAAUGUAUCUUUGGAGGGCUUGAGUCCAAAUUAGUCUUCAAACUCAAAAUAGUAUAUGCUUGGCCUCUAAGUUUAACCACUCAUCAUUAAACAAACAAAAACAUUAUUUUUCUGAGUUAACUCAAAACAGUAACGUAAUAAGACAUCACAGGAAGCACCAAAUAUCCAAGAUAAAAGUCUCAACAAAAAACCAAAUGGUUCAAAAUAAUAUUGUAAUCAACACAUCCACUUUAUACAGUUAUAACAUGUACAAUGAAUAAAGUCAGGCUUAAGGUCACAUGUCUCUCAUGUAGUAUAUGAAUUAUCUGAAAUUAGUAAUUAGGCUCUUCAUCUCAAUUCCAUAACAAAUUAUAAUUCAUUACAGUUCUUAAUUAUUAUGCCUUAUAAAUUAUUAUAAAAACCAUUUCAAAUUAACAAAAAUUUACCCUUGAAGCUAAUUGAAUGACCUUCCAUAAUAUUCAAGCUACCAGUGAUCAUCAUAUAAAGCCAAAAUGGUUUGUUAAAAAAGAAAAAAAAAACGUAGCUGGAAGAGCUUGAAAAGGAUUUCCAAAACAAUCAAACCAACAUUGAAGGAUGAUACUCCAUCAGUUAAACUCUAUUGUCCAAUUAAGUGGUACUACACUCAGACACCAAUACUAAGGGAAAGAAAAAUAAUUCCUAAACUGACCAGUUCAUCUAUGGGACAAUGGCCCUGCAGCUAUAGCUUAUAUAUAAAAUAUAGAGACAACUUUGCAGCUAGUUUAUACCUAAACUAUAAAGAGAACUCAAUAAGCUACAUUGGCAAAAAAAUCAAUAACAAUAAAAAAAACAAAAAAAACAUAAGCUCACAGACAAAGGCAAACGAACCUUGAAACGAAUACACCCACAGACCAACUUCCAACUUCUAACUUUUUACUUCAAUUAUAUAAAUGAAUUGUUAUAUUCUUUCUUCCAAUAGAUAGUAAAGAAAUUCAAAAUUAAUCCAGAAGUAUCAAGCAAACAUUCAAGACUUGGAAAACAACCAAUCAGACUCAAAGCAUUAAAACAUAAAAAAAAUGAAAUAAUUAUUGGGUACGUGUGCAAGUGAAACAUCUCAAAUUUGAACAGAACCCACAUCAAAUGCAAAACAGGGCAUUCAUAUCAGACACAGAACCCUACUCAAAUUUGACAUAGAACCCACAAUAAUUAACUACUUGAAAAAGAAAAGUCAUUUUAUUCAGAAAACUUGGACUGUUGAAUGUUCAAGCAUUUAAGAUAUCAAAAAGGAAAAAUCAAGCACUGAAAUUCAGUUUCGAUUUAAAUUCCUGGGUAUCUAUUUCCGAUUUUCCUUGAUUAUUUUCUCAACAACCAAAUGGAAUCCACAACUGAAAAUCAGAGCUCAAAAGAAAAUGAAGGUAAGAGAGACAAGAUAGACUCACCAUAAGCUUUCCGUUGAAACACGUAGUGAGGAGGACUUCGGAGAUGGAGUUUUCAGAUGGCCGUCGAUUCCUGACCGUGGCAGGGAAAGGCGUGCGAGAUGGAGUAUCGCUUGCUGACGUUGGUGGAGGAUUGCUCUGCCGACGUCGGUGGAGGAUUCCUUUGCCGAUAUAAAACAGCGAAGAGUGGGUCUGAGAGGAAAUAACCAAUCGGGAACUUUUUAGUUCAUAUUUUUGUAUUUAAACUCUCCAGAUUAGCCCCAAAAACUAUUUGGUCGCCCAUAUGCUAAUAUACAUAAAACUACGUCGUUUUAUGGCUUACAUUUUUAAAAGCACAAUGAUCUGCGACGAAAACCAAAUAGUCGCUGGCCCCACGAAAUUUUUACGCGCCAAUUCUAACUUAGCGACAACACAUUAAAACUCAGCGACCCAAUAUUUUCGUCGCCAAAACUUUUGAAGUUUCGCGCGCACUCAAUUCCGCAAAUCGCGACCAAAUAUACGUUUGGUCGCCAAGUCCUUGCCUAACCACCAAAAACUUUCGUCGCCCUUAGUUGAUAAAUUAGUCGCUAUUUAGUUGACUCAAGUCAUCAC